UUUUAGCCCUGAUGGUAGUGGCAUCCUUUUUCUUUAUUUUCAAAGAAAAAGAUAGAACGGACAGCAGGAAAACGG
rnacentral:sRNA from 1 species